rnacentral:lncRNA from 1 species
GCAAACAUAAAAUAAUUUUAUAAUUAUUUAUUAUUCUAUCACCUAUUAUAUAUUUAAUCAACAUAACACAUAAUUUCUGUAAGGGCAACAAAAAAAAAGAGUUUAACCAGUUAAUUAUUAAAAACAAUAAUUAUAUUUCUGAGAAACAAUGUGUUCCAAUAAGUGUAACAAUUACAAAUCAAACAAUCACCUCAACGACGUUACAACUUCCUAGAACACAUAGUUUAUUAAAUUUGGCUCAGGAAGAAUAAUUAGAAUAAUAAACUGAGUUUUUACAGGGUCACAAGUGGUUCUUCACUUUUCUCCUCUGCCUUUGGUUCCUCAGCUUUAACAUCUUCCUUUUUUGCUUCAGGAGUCUCAGUGGCAGCCUCAGACACCUCUUGCUUGGCUUCCACGGCUUCUUCUGCAACCUCUUGUUUCUGCUCAGCUACUUCCUCAGUUUUCUCCUGAGCACCUUGAGUCUCGCCAUGGUUAACAUUCUCCGGUGCAGUGGGAACCUCCACGGGGGCUUCCCCUUCGUUCAAGGCAAGAUCCUUAGGACUGCUCACACAACCUCCCAUUAUUAUUAUAUUUAGGUUAUUAAAGGAAUCAAGUAAAGGGGAGGAGGUGUG